AACCCGGGAGCGGUCGCGUCGUGUACUGUGUACACGCACCAUGAAAAAUGCUCGCAUGUGGUACACAACGUGAGCGGGGCGUCGCUGCAGGUAGUCAAAGACGCGACUGCUCGAGGGUUAAUUGAGCUCAUGCAUUUGAUUCGCCAUCACAGCCUACGAACAAGAUAAGGCCAUUUCCUUAGCUUAAACUUGUUUCGUCCAAUGCUUGUGCUCUUCUCCUUCAAGCUUCCUUCGUCUGGAUGUCCCCAAUCACUUUGUGCCAAGCUUUGUGCGUCUUGUAUGAACAACCAACCCUUCUCAAGAAGUUUGUUAUGCCCCUGCCAAUAAGAUGUUUUCUAGAUCUAGUCUUCCACUUAAGAGUAUCACACUUGCUCUAGUUCAGCACUAUUUCUUAACGCUAUAUUCUUGAUUCACAAUUUUCUCUUCUUGAGCCUCACGCCAAGUUCGGUGAAAUUGGCAUAGCUCUACCGUAUGGGCUACGUCCAGUAUACAAUAUUUUUUCGGGGUCCUAUCAUCCCAGGUUUUCCAUGAUUAUUCUUUGUUACCCUGUCUUCUUGGCGGUUUCAUUGGCGGUUCUUCGCAACUAAUGCCGGAAAUUUGAUUUGCUGGGUACGGCGCUGCACAUUGCAAACCGUGAGUCGUUUCUGGGCUCAUAACCUGUUGAAUAUCUCACUAAAGCAUCACAUUGAGGCUCGAUCAUUUCAGAGUACAUAGGAGCACAGAGAACAGACGUCUAUUUUCGCUUUUCUGCCUUGUGUUAAACUUUGAACCGGUCACAUUAGAGUAUGUCGUUAUGCUCUCGUUGCGUGUCGCUAGCAUCCCAUCACUUACAUUGGCAUGCUGUCAUUUUUGUUUCCAGUGUUCGCCGUUUUUGACGCUCGUGUCACUUUGUGAGCUAGUGUGUUUUAACUAGAGUGACUGUAAGAGAGAGUGGCGUCAAUGUGAAAAUUGGAGCGGCGAUCAUCUGUCAAACGCAUACAAAUUUCCGUUCUGAAUGAGCAGGAGACCUGCCAAAAUCGGAACAUGACGCUACUCUCCCUUCCAGUCACUCUAGUUUUAACGAUGAAGACCGCUAUCGUGUGGUAAAAUCGAGUUUAUAUGUCAGGUAGUCUCCGUUGGUGGUGUUGAGCUACACUGAAAUCCUUUACAUACGUUUUCGACCUAUUUUUGUUCGAGCUUAAACGUCUGUUCUCUGUGAUAGAAGUUCACAGAGGUUAUCGCAAUUACUACAGCAGAUGAUAAUACUCUGACCUGACAGGUGGUGUAACUAGUCAUGCUUCACUGAACACGGUUCUUUAAAUGAUCGUUACGCCACUAUCUCUGUCAUCACUCUUUUUGGACGUCGAAUUCUCGCUUCUUAGUCACCUCGCUCUUCUAGGGAAGAGUCCCAAGUAACCAAAAGUUCCGCUUCCCAUGACAAAAUGCACUUUCAAGUUCCACGAAGUUCAGAUAAAGUUCCAAAUGGAACUUUCUGGCUGCUUAAGAGGCUAACGAUGAGCCUUGCUGGAACUUCGGGCACAAUGUGUUUCAAUGAGCUCAAAUAUACCUCGGAACGAUCAAGAUAUCGUCAUAUUGUCGGUCGUGUGCGGGAAAAAUCCGUUAGUUGUCGUCCGUAGUUUUCGCCCGUGUUCGGUGAAGUAAAACGCGAAUAUCAAUAUAUUCCGAACAAUCCUCAAGUCCGUAGUGCGAAGCCCAAAUGCGCGUGUGCAUCAAGUACAUCUUUACGAAGAAAGGUGACCGAGCAGUGAAAGUGCACCACGGUCCAGCAUCCAUCCAACUAACAACAACAUCCGUGGGUGAGCUCCAGCGUACAAGAUCUUCUGGGCCGUCUGCUACCAGACGGUGGAAAAUCCCUUCGACGAGGAACGGGUAAGCCCCUUGGCUGGUUCGUCUCUUACACCGUCUUCAGCCAGAGGCUGCACAGACUGAACAUUACACAUACACGAGACAACGGACAACACACAUAACACCCAGUGGCCCAAUGGAGAAUUUUCCGUUCGACGAAAAGUUUUCCCCGACUGGAGCGGGAAUCGAACCCGCACUCCGAGGCUUACGAAACGCCUAGACGACUGACGCCGUUAACCGCACGGCCACGACAGCAGCUAAAGUCUGACUUGAAUCGAUUUUCUGUCGGCAGCUAGUUUUGCACAUUUGUACAGUAGUGAAGUUAACUUGACUUUGUCAAGUGUCCUCAGCAGCGCAGCGGUAAGUCGGCAGGUUAUCACGCAGGAGGAUCCAGUUCAAAUCUACAUAGCAGCGACAUGUGUGAAAAUAUAAUUAUCAGAAGCAAUUUCCAGACGUGAAUCACAAACCCACCAACAGGGUUGUGAUUCUGAAAACACAUUUUUGUUUCUGCAUGAAUUUUGUCAAAGUUCUGUCAGAAGCUGCUUAGAAGGCUAUCCAGCGUGCUUAUGUGAACUUUCAAGUUCCAAAAUUACUUAAAAAUGAAGCUGCUUAGAAGGCUAAUGAGCAACCUCGAACAAGCUGCUUAGCUUAUAAAGUACCCUUUUAUCUGAACUUUUGGUUACUUGGGUUAUGCCGUUCUGUUUCGCGUGUUCAAGUCCGGAACAACACCCUUUGACCAGUUCCAAUCUUUACUGUUGUUCCUCCACUUCGAUCGUGUCCUCUAAGCUUUUAAAUCAAGGCAGCUGUUUAUUGAGAGACUGCUCUCGAAUUUCAAAGUGCAAUAUCCAAGUCAAUACACUUCCUAAACCACAAAUCGUUCAUUCUCAAUGACCGUGAAGGGUAUCUUAUUAUCAACUCGGACUCAAGGAGUCUCAAACUGUUGGAUUCUCUGACUCCACGACCUAUCUGGCGACCAGUUUGAUCCCGAGUCAAUUGAAUAAACGUUGUUCGAGAUUCCUAAGAGCCCAUCUAUUCGUAGGUAUUGUCCUAGAAUGCCAGAGUUGUUGUCCUCUCCUCGAUGGAAUACCACCAAGUGUAAUAACUUAAGAAUGCCCCUUUGCAAACCAUCACGACCGGAUACGCGAGAGAUAAGAGGUACUUUGAACCGUGAUACUAUCAUACAGGUCCAGGUCAUAUCCAAGCGUCUACCGGUUGGAAGCCUGUUAGUGUAAAGACUUCAGAGUUGAAACCAAGGUGUCGUUGAUUCAGUACGAGACGCACUGAGCCCAAUGAGAAUCCAUACCAUCUGUUUACAGAUAGGUUAAACGAUAAUACAUGAGCCAAUCAUUAGGUCAUUUGAUUCGAAUUCCUCGGCAUUCCUUGAGUUGAUAUCUAACAUCCGGAUGAGUGUGUAUGCGUCGAUGUUGCUGGGAUUAAUAACAGGAAAAGACGAUACAUCUGAGGCUUUCUUGGCUAGUGUAGAUCCAUGGAUUGUACCAUUUGUAGCAUCAUGGCACCUGAUAUUUAACAGCUUAGGAUGGAACUGUGCCGGACUGUUAUUUAAAGUCUAACAAGUCUUAGUAAUACCUUGGGGUAGAACACGGAUCAAAAUGGUCCUGUUUCGUCAUCCAACCGUCGAGAUUAACAAGUCUAGAUCGUGUCAGAAGAUCGAUAUGCCCAAAUAGGUCGGUAUUCCGCGUCCAUCGUUGGAAGGUAUUUGGUAUUUCUUAGAUGGCUUUUCAUAUCAAAAUUAUGUGGAUGUUUUGUUUUGAACGCCCUUGAUCCUUGAAUGGCCUCCUGGUAAAAAUAUUGUGAGAAGUUUCCGGUAGUACCAAUCCGCAGAAACGAUGAACUCUAUUGUCAGGUACAAUAUAAACCACAAAGGUCGACGAACCGUUCAUCUUUUCGGCUCCACUGAGUACUGACAUUCGUGUGGUAAACCUUGUAGUAGUGAAAUAGUUUCAUAACAUCUCGGUGUUAAUGUAAACGAUGUCGCGAAAUCGUACAGGACUAGGCUGCUUCAGGUGAUGACAACCGAUAUCCAUUUCUACCUACAGAAACGAUUCGGCUAAUGGCCUUAAAGUUCACUAGCUUCGCGAUUAUAGUGUAAAGCCGACAGUCAACCCUGUUACGCCACCUGGAACAUCAUACAAAGCUAUUCUGACGAAUGUAAGUGUUCGCUGCGCAGUUCAAUGUGGAGUAUAUUUGAGAUUUUGCAAGUAGUGUCCGUAAGUGUCAUGCAGUUUCUCCGUCAGUCACUGUUAGUCCAUAGUUCAGGAGUCUAUCGUACUUUGUCGCCAUCUACGCUGCAUCCAAAACCCACCGCCGGAGGGAAAACGAGAUCCUGUUGAUAGCCAGAAAGGGGUGGAGAUAUGGGCCGUUAAGAUGGAUGUGUUAACGGACACGAUGAUUCGGAAGAAACACGAACGGUCUAGGUCGCUGACCGAGUGUGAAGGACAGUGACCUGUUUGUACUCCAUGAUGCUUCAGACUGCCAGAAGAACCGCCAACUUGAAAGGUUGCAGUGAGUGGUCGUGCGGAUGGUUGUGCCCGUGUCCAUACCCAGAUCCAUAGAAACCCGCUGUUUUACACAGAACUUCGUUUCUGUAGGUCUGCAAGGAGCUCCUCCCUCCAUACGUUGGGCAGGUUCAUCGUAUCCCGACGUCGACCAAGUCCGUCAACAUACUCGGCAACCCGAAGGCUACUGGAGCGCUGAGAGCGUAUGGUCACCAUUGUACAAGAUUUCCAGAUCCAAGCACUGAUUGCGGAUGUUGAAGUAGUCUGCUAUGCUCACGAAAACCAUAGUGCCUUGAGGUAUCAGCUGCUUUCACUCUCUAUAUUAUAUCUAGGUAUACACCUAGUGUUCACACAAACUCCAGUGUCGAGGGCUCGUAAAAUGCGAUGGCCUAUGACGAAGAAUCGCGCAGGAUUGUGCCCUAACAUUUGAACUGUUUCGAGUUGGACAUCACAACGGGAAAUGUGGGAUCAGUAGGUCGGCUCCAGAGGCACGUUCUCCCUCAUUUGGGAAAUUUGUGUCACAAGGACGAAAAGUGAUCGGUUUGAACUGGGUAUUUAAGAUGAAGAGUACGUAGGUAACAAGUUUAGACAUGUGGUGGAGCUUAAAGUCGGCAUAGUUGCGCAAGGCUUUGUUUCUCGCCGUUAAACAUCUUGAUGGUAAGAGAUUAGACGAGUCACUUCCUCCAUGCCUGGUGAAGCGCGAAGAAGAAGCUCUCAAAUCACGUCUUCUCUGUCGUCUGCUGAUCAGGUGAUCGAUGGUUUCGGGAUGAGCCAGGCCAGCACAGCGUAAAACCCUUUUGAUAAGACUACAAAGUACACCAAAACUGUGGAUACUAGCAAUAAUGAACUCCAGAAUCCGACGUAGUAUUGAAGCCUGAUGGUGGGUGGCCUUCCCUACAUUUUAGUACCACGACUUCACCUAAUUCAAAUCAUUUUUUUUCGGAUCCCAGUUCCGUUCAUGUCAUUUGGUUUACAUGCGGUGUGUCUUACCUAAAGACCUAAGAGAAAAGGCUUUGAAGUCAGCCAAUUGCUAAUAUAUUGGACAGGCAGCUUUAGAGCGCAUAAUGAGUACCAAAACCGAAAAUUUUAAUGAGACCUGCCCACUAUUGUUGGAAAAGAAUCCACCAGCUCCAUUGUCAUCUCGCAAACUUCCUAAGGGACCGUGGGAAAUUGUCCAGAUAGACUUUUAUGAUUAUUCUGCAAAUGGAGUGAUGUGACAAAAGUCGGAAUCGUUUAUCGAGGUGUGAAAUCUCGACUCGAAUGAAGUGAGUCGCCGUGUAUUGGAAAUCAAUAAACUUUUUUUAAAGAAAUUUUUGCUAAUUUUGGGUUGUUUACAACAUGCAUCGGAAGUGAUGUAUAUGAUAGUGCAUCAUUGAACGUACACAGCGCAUAACAUCCGAUACUGAAAAAGUGUCGCUAGUCAAAACGUCGCCAUUCGGUUUGGUUCUGGUGCCAUAAUAAACCAAAUAGAGAGUCGCCUCAUUCGAGUUGAGAUUUCUCACUUCGAUAUGUCGUCUCGUCACUCCAGUCAUAGAAUGACCACAUUUCUCAUGUUCUCAGGUUUGGGGUCCGGAGAGUUUCUUAUGAUUGUGGACACUUACUCGAAGUUGCUUUUUGUCGUUGAAGUGCAUCAUAAGGCAAUGUGAUUAUUGAUUAUGCCCUUUUCAUUUGUACGUGUAGAUACGCGCACUUUUCUGGCUCUACUAGAGACAGAACACAAAUAUUGUAACGACAAAGUACUUUGCUUUGGAAUGUCUUAAGAUGCUAGCACACAUGGUCAAAUAUUUGACCAAAAACAACUCAAUGCUCAAACAUUUGUUCAAGUUCAGUUCUUGUCAAAUAUUUGCUUCAGUUUUCCUCACAAGUUUCUUGUAAUCAAACCCCAAACCCGCUUCCUUGCGUCAGCUGGGCUGUUGACUAGUAUCCACUGAACAUUACCGAUACUCUCUCUAUCGUCGGGUUCCUCCGGGAACAACCUUCCGGAGCCCACGACUCCAACAGUUUAAAUGGAUACCAUUUUAUAAACUUUAAUAGAAGAUCUGCGAUCUUCAAUAAUUUCCUGAAAAAAAGUCCUUAAGGUCUACAAUGGAUUGGGAUGAUGGUCAGAUGUUCAUAGGGAUUCCUGUGUCUAGGUUGCAUCAAGAUUUCUGUUCAGAUUCCUUCAGAAUCGUUGCGCAGAUUCCAUUAGGAUUACUGUCCAGAUUCUGACACGAUACUGGUAGGAACUCUGUCAAGAUUUCAUCAAAAUUCCAGACUAGAUUCCACCAAGAAUACUUCUAUGUUCCACAGAGUAAAUGUUGAGGUUCCUUCAAGAUUCGUGUCUAGAUUCUUUCAGGAUUCCUGUACAGAUUCCGUCAAUCGUCUACAAAUACCAGUAGAUAUCUCCUGCAAACUUCGGUAAAGUCUCCUGUCGAUUUCGGUAGGCAUUUCUUGCAGAUAGUGAUAGAUCCUGCAGACUCCCUUCGGAUUCAGGCAAAACUCUCCUGCAGAUUCGAGUAGAAUUCUGCAGCAAAUUUACGUAGAAAUCUCCUGCUGAAUAGAGUAAAAAUGUUCUACAGAUCCCAAUAGAAAUGUUCCGCAAAUUCCAGUAGCAGUCUUCUCUAAUUUCAAGUAGCAAUCUCCUGAAGAUUCUGGUAGAAAUCUUCUGCAAAGUCUAGUUAAAAUCUUCUACUGAUUUCAGUAAAAAUCUUCCAGAUUCGAGUAGACAUCUUUUGAAAAAAAAUUAAAAUUUCUUACAGGUUCGAGUAGAAAUCUUUUGAACAUACUAGAGAAAUAUCAUGGAAAUUCCCGUAGAAAUGUUCAGUUUCGAGUAAAAAUCUCCUGCAGAUUCGAGUACUUCCAUAGAUUCGAGUAGGAACUUCUAAAAAUUCACGUUAUUCAGGUGUUUGUUGAAAUAUGACUACCACCUUUCAAAUAUUAUGUUUUUCCUGUAAGUAGAAAAUGAAAAUGGGUACAAUGUCUUUGCCAUGUUCAUAUGCCUUUUGUGUUAUUCUAUAGUGUUUGUUGAAGUACCACUUUCACCUUUCGAACAGUUUCUCUAACAGUCAGAACGGCUGUGAGUUGAUAGUAACGAAUUUCUCUUGAAUAGCGAAAGGAAUUGACAUGUCCUAAGAUAAGUCUUACUUAUUUGAAGUGUGGACAAUGAACGUUCAUUGAAUGUCAUAUUCAAGUAACAAUAGAUAGCUUAGAUUUAUCGGUUGCUCGGUUGUUAUGAUGUAACAUCUCCCCCUCUAAAACAACCAAUAUCCUUGAAGCUUGGAUGGGAGCCCAAGCACUUGUCCAGGUCAUUCAGGUGUUUCUUGUUUUGCACGGGGUUCUUCAUUUUUUAAAAAUGAAUAUAACGUUAAAAAGUGCAUUCUAGAAAAAAUCAAUUCAAUAUUUUUGAAUCGAAAGAAAAAUCCCCAGAACUCUGGGAAGUAUUGCCACAUAGGUAGUACUGAAAUAAAUUCCCGCAGAGUGCUGAGAGAAAUUCCCCCAGAAUAUUUAAAGAGACUCCUCCAGAAUUCUGAAAAGAGUUCCUCUUGAAUUAUUGGAGAGAUUUCUUCAGAAUUCAGAAAAUGAUUUCACCAGAAUCCUGACCGACAUUAUCUAGAAAAGAAAACAGACUCUUCCGGUAUCUUGGAAGGAAUUCACUCUGAAUUCUAUUAGGGAUUUUCCUGGAAGACGGAAUGUCUCAGAUUCCCGAGAGAAAUUCUCCCAGAAUCCUGUGAUAGGUAGUCCCAGAAUCCUAAGAGAAACUUUCCCUUGGGAUUCUCUCAAAAUGUUCCAGAUUCAUAAAUAGGAUUAUCCUAGAAUCCUAAGACAAAUCCUACCAAAAUCAUGAGAGAAAUUCCAAGAGCUUUUCUUUCACAUUCUUGAGAUAAAUUCAUCUAGAAUUGUGAGAGAGAUUCCCACAAAACAAAAAAGAUUUUCGAAAUUCUAAGAUGAAUUCCCCAAGAAACUUUAAAGAAAUUACCCAGAAUCCUAAAAGGCGAGGUUGCCAAUGAAACCUGAGAUAUACUCUCACAGAAUUCUGGAAGAUAGGAUUCCCCCAAAAACUUGAGGAGAAUUCCUCCAGAAUCCGUUUAAGUAUUCUCCCAAAAUUCCCCUAAAAUUCUGGGUAGAAUCCUUUAGAAUACUGCCAUAAUCCAUAAAGGUGUUCUCUAGAAUUCUACGAGUGAUUCCUCCAGAGUCCUGAGAGGAAUCAUAAGAGGGGUUCAUCCAGAUUCUUGAGAGAAAUAUAUCUAGAAACCUAAGAGAGAUUUUUCCGAAAAUAUGAUGAGGGUUCUCCCUAGAAGGGAUUACGAAAACUUCUAGAAUGGACUUCUCCAGCAUCCUGAGACGGAUUCUCUGGAAUUCUGAGAGGUAUUCCCAUAUAAAACAGAAAAGAUACCGCAGAUUCCUGAAAGACAUUGCCCAGAAUCUUUGAAAUGACUCCCCUAAACUUCUGAAAGGGAUUGUACCUGAACUCUGAGAGUGAUUCCUCUAGAAUACUUUAAAUUAUUACACCAGUAUCUCAACAGAAUCUUCCAAUAAUCUAGUCAGGGAUUUUCCCAGAUACUCUCCAAGAAUCCUGAAAGGGAUUUCUGAGAGCAACUCCAGAAUACAGAAAACAUAAUUUUCAGAGAAUCUUGGGAAGAGUACUUAGUGAUAUUCCCCCAGAAUCUUAAAAUGAUCGUACGCUGAAUCCUGAGAAGGAUACCACUAGAAUCCUGUGUGGGAUUCUCUCAGAAUUCUAGGAAAUAUUCCCACAGAAUUCAGAGAGGAAUUUCGCCACAUGUCUGAGAAUGCUGAGUAUGAUUCUCCAAAAAUUCUGAGAGUUCCUGAGAAUGCUAAUAAAAAUUUCCGCAAAAUUCUGAGUGGGAUCCUAAGGGUCUUCCAGAAUCCUUAGAGGGAUCAACCCAGAUCAUCCAGAAAUUACUUAUAAUCCUGAAAGAAAUAUCACCCUUGGUAGGGAAUACCCCAAAACGCUUAGAAUUUCUAGAAAGAUUCCCUAGAAUCACAGACAAACAGACGUACCACUCUUCGAAAGGCCUUGGUACAUGGAUUCAACGAUGAAUUUAAAUUUCGUUUGAUUCCACCGGAGGUGCUAGAAGUUCGGUCGCUUUGACGUUUGCUAGUGUACACGUUCCUGAAUGAUGCAAACGAAAUUUACAGGAGAUUUGUGUAGUAGUAUGCGUGUGUCUCGCGUGGUUCUACCAACAUGAAUUGCCUCAGAAUCCUGAGAGAAGUUUUCCUCGGGAUUCUCCCAGAAUGCUUAGACGGAUAUCCCUAAAACUCCCUGACGGAUUUUUCCAAAAUCCUGAGAGAAAUUCUCCUGCAGUAUUGAAAGACAUCCUAAGAGGGGAUCUUCCAUAUUAUUAAGAGAAAUAAAUUCAAUUAUUCAUCUAGAAUCCUGAUAGGGAUUCUCAAAAAAAAUAUUUUCGGAACGUUGAGAAGGAUGCGCUAGAACUCUGAAAGGGACUCUCUAGACCAUAAGAAGGAUUCCUCCAGGAAUCUGAGAAAGAUUCACCUAGACUAAUGGAAGGGAUUGCCCAAGAAACUCGAGAUUUACAGGUAUACCUCGAUUUAGUGGACCCUCGAUUAUAUGUACUUCGAUUUUAUGUACAUUUUAAAUCGAUUUUAUGUACAUUUUUUUAAUGGUAAAAAAAAAGAAAUUUUAUAUUUUUGAAUCGAAAGAAAAAUCGAAUGUAAAAAAUCGAUUCGGUCGAUUUCGUGGGGCUUCAACAUCGAUUCAAUAAAUCGAUUGAUCGGAACAAAAACAUCGAUUCGCUUUUACUAGUGGCACAGACAAACAGACGUAACACUUCAAAACGGCUUGGCACAUGCAUUUAAUGAUCACUUCAAAUUUCUUUUGAUUAACGCGAUCGUUCCACCAGAAGCGCUAGUGUUCGAUCGCUUUGACGUUUGCCAGUGUAUACGUUGCUGAAUGAUGCAAACGAAAAUUACAGGCAAUUUGUUUAGUAGUGUGCGUGUCAGCAAAACGCCAAAUCGAAAUCCAUCAUGGCCGACAGUGUCGCGCGUGGUUCUAACAACAGGUGGCAGUGUGCUCACGGAAAUGACACCGGGCAAAAGUUUUUGAUGAAUUUCCUCUAAAAGUUACGUCUGUUUGUCUGUGCUAGUGGCAUCUCGGAGUGUUGGAAACUAAACUGAAACUGCUUCGAUUGGUGUGUUGAGGAUACUUGCCAUGUCUUUUUCGAGGGAAACGGCAGCAAUGAUGUAAUCUUCCUCUAGAUGCAAGCUUCUAUCGAUAAGGCGGGAAAGCAUUUUAGCACAUCCAAAUUUGUUGUUUGUUGAGACGUACUGAAUGUCGAAAUCUUAAUUCAGCAUGAUCAGGGUCCAGCGCUGCAAGCGAUUUGCCAUGUGCACCGGAAUACCCUUUUUCGAUCCGAAAAUUGACAGAAGUAGCUUAUGGUCCGUCUGGAGUGUAAAACUUAUAUCCAACAGCAUAUUAUGGAACUUGGUAACUACAUAAACUAGGGCUUACAAGUUUUAUAGGUUUCAGACUUGUCACUAAAAUCAGUUCUCUUGGCAACACUUCUGUGGGAUGACACCGUAAAAACAAACAGUUGCCAAUAUGCGAUCCCCAUUUUGAGACAUUUUGAAAUCCAGCUAAAAAUUUUCACAAACUCCAGUAAUUCAACGCAACGCAUUGUAACAUUGCUCUUCUCACACAUAGUAAAACAAGCUGUAAAUCGCUGCAAAACAUUGUAGGAUAGAACCAAACUUUUUACCAAUACUGCAAACAAGACUUCCCGGAAGAUGAGGCAGGGCGGAAGCCCUGCGUCAUCUGACGCCAUUAUACCCCAAGAAAACAGGAGACAGAGGAGUUGAUAUUGAAACCUUGGAGUAACCCUAUUAAUAGAGCUAAUAAUACACCUAUCGAGUUUUUUCCUCUAAGAAACACGUAGACUAGCGACAAAUAAGGGAGGAAGAAAAUCUCACUUUAAUUCUAAUAUCAGAACCAUUUAAUCCCUGUUUCAGAAAGAUUUUAAGUAUGUAAUAAUUUCAAAAUUAGGAAAAAAAAUGCAAAUACUGUGUCUCAUCUAGGUUUGGAUACGUUUUUAUUAGAGGAGUAGAAAUCGUUUGACAGAAGGAAAUCUAGAAAAUAUGUGUAAUUGGAAAAAUCUAAAAAAAUACUGAUAAUAUUAAACUAAUAAAAUUGGCAACCAAAAUUGUGAUCCCGGUAGAGAUUUAGUUGCGAAAUGAUUGAUAGUUGACCGAAAAAUGACAAGUUGUGCGAUUUUUACCCAAUGGUAGUUUGAGUUUUGUAGAAGUUUAACUUAAGAAAAUCAAAUUCUAAAAUUACAUCACAGUUUUUAAGGUUAUGUUUCAUCAAGCAACGAGCAAAUUUAUUACUGAAAAAAAAACUAAAAGACGUCAAUUCUUGAACAGGUGCGAUUGCA